CUCAGGAGGUCUUCUUGGAGCAGGAUCUGCUAGAAGGAAAUCGCUGAAAACUGGAGAUGCACAAAGUGGUGGCGCGAGGAAAGUAUUUUGUGAAGAUGAUCAGGAGAAUCUUUAUAAACUUGUUCAAGAUAAGUCCACGGUGGGCAAGCAAGGACUUGGCAUUAAGGACCGACCAAAAAAAAUAGCAGGGGCUCGAUUCCAGGGGAAAAAGACAUGUUUUGGCGAGGGCAGUGAUGAGGAACCUGAUGUUGAUUUUUCAGUAAAAAAACAAAAACUUGAUGGCACCUUUGAGUCAAAAAACAUAUAUGAACCAAAAGUGAAAUUGAAAAAAUUAUGCAAACAGCUUCUACUUCAGGUACCUGGAGAAUCACUGAAGCUGAAACAGCUUAAAGCUCUGAUUGAUGAACAUGCACCCUCAGUUUUCUCGGAGUUGUCUUCCACAAAAGAUAGUCUUGCUUACCUGAAGCGUAAGCUGGAAGGCAGCCAGAAGUUCUCUGUGGAGGGAAAAAGAGUUGGUCUCACGUCAGGGAGAGCCUGAACAUUUUUGUCAGAAUGUUUAGAUGCCUGUAACGGUCUUUAUAUGGCAGCUGAGGCAGGAUUAGAAUUAGCUUAAGU